CCUACGGGCGGCAGCAGUAAGGAAUAUUGGUCAAUGGGCGCAAGCCUGAACCAGCCAUGCCGCGUGCAGGAAGACGGCCCUAUGGGUUGUAAACUGCUUUUGUCAGGGAAUAAACCUUUGUACGUGAUACAGAGCUGAAGGUACCUGAAGAAUAAGCAUCGGCUAACUCCGUGCCAGCAGCCGCGGUAAUACGGAGGAUGCAAGCGUUAUCCGGAUUCAUUGGGUUUAAAGGGUGCGCAGGCGGAUUGAUAAGUCAGUGGUGAAAGCCCACAGCUUAACUGUGGAACUGCCAUUGAUACUGUCAUUCUUGAGUAUUGUUGAGGUAGGCGGAAUGUGUCAUGUAGCGGUGAAAUGCUUAGAUAUGACACAGAACACCGAUCGCGAAGGCAGCUUACCAAGCAAUAACUGACGCUCAUGCACGAAAGCGUGGGGAUCAAACAGGAUUAGAUACCCUGGUAGUC
rnacentral:rRNA from 1 species